UCUCAGUUGGUGAACCAGCGGAGGGAUCAUUACAGGACUCGCAAGACUCCUACAACCCUGUGAACUUAACUAUAAGCACGUUGCUUCGGCGGGUGUCUCGGAGGGGGUUCUCCCUCCCCGAGACGCUAAACCCGCCGGCAGCCUACUAUACUCUGUCUCUUUGCGUUGGCAUCUCGAGUACAAUCAAACAAGUUAAAACUUUCAACAACGGAUCUCUUGGUUCUG
rnacentral:misc_RNA from 1 species